CGGACGGGUGAGUAACGCGUGAGAAUCUGCCUUUAGGUCCGGGACAACCACUGGAAACGGUGGCUAAUACCGGAUGUGCCGCAACGUGAAAGGGGAAACCCGCCUGAAGAUGAGCUCGCGUCUGAUUAGCUAGUUGGUGAGGUAAAGGCUCACCAAGGCGACGAUCAGUAGCUGGUCUGAGAGGAUGACCAGCCACACUGGGACUGAGACACGGCCCAGACUCCUACGGGAGGCAGCAGUGGGGAAUUUUCCGCAAUGGGCGAAAGCCUGACGGAGCAAGACCGCGUGAGGGAAGAAGGCUCUUGGGUCGUAAACCUCUUUUGUCAGGGAAGAACACAAUGACGGUACCUGACGAAUCAGCCUCGGCUAACUCCGUGCCAGCAGCCGCGGUAAUACGGAGGAGGCAAGCGUUAUCCGGAAUUAUUGGGCGUAAAGCGCCCGUAGGUGGCUAGUCAAGUCUGCGGUCAAAGACUGGGGCUUAACCCUGGAAAGGCCGUGGAAACUGACGAGCUAGAGUGCAGUAGGGGUAGAGGGAAUUCCCGGUGUAGCGGUGAAAUGCGUAGAGCUCGGGAAGAACAUCGGUGGCGAAGGCGCUCUGCUGGACCAUAACUGACACUCAGGGACGAAAGCUAGGGGAGCGAAUGGGAUUAGAUACCCCAGUAGUC
rnacentral:rRNA from 1 species